rnacentral:rRNA from 1 species
AAUCCAUAGGUUAAUGAGGCGAACCGGGGGAACUGAAACAUCUAAGUACCCCGAGGAAAAGAAAUCAACCGAGAUUCCCCCAGUAGCGGCGAGCGAACGGGGAGGAGCCCAGAGCCUGAAUCAGCAUGUGUGUUAGUGGAAGCGUCUGGAAAGGCGCGCGAUACAGGGUGACAGCCCCGUACACAAAAGCGCAUGUGCUGUGAGCUCGAUGAGUAGGGCGGGACACGUGGUAUCCUGUCUGAAUAUGGGGGGACCAUCCUCCAAGGCUAAAUACUCCUGACUGACCGAUAGUGAACCAGUACCGUGAGGGAAAGGCGAAAAGAACCCCGGCGAGGGGAGUGAAAAAGAACCUGAAACCGUGUACGUACAAGCAGUGGGAGCCCCACCACCAAAGCAUUUGCUGUACCGCGUUGACGGAGCGAAGCGACGUCAAACCGAUAAAACAGCAGUGUAAAGUGAGCCGCAGGGCGCUUUGCGCGACAGCGCAAAGGCAGGCGGUUUCGCGUAGCGAAAGCGAAUG